GACGAACCACACGAACGUUAUUCGGAAUUACUGGGCUUAAAGGGUGCGUAGGCGGCGUAGAAAGUUGGGUGUGAAAUCCCUCGGCUCAACCGAGGAACUGCGCCCAAAACUACUAUGCUUGAGGAAGAUAGAGGUAAGCGGAACUUACGGUGGAGCGGUGAAAUGCGUUGAUAUCGUAAGGAACACCUGUGGCGAAAGCGGCUUACUGGGUCUUUUCUGACGCUGAUGCACGAAAGCCAGGGGAGCAAACGGG
rnacentral:rRNA from 1 species